GACAGAGGGUGCAAACGUUGUUCGGAUUUACUGGGCGUAGAGCGCGUGUAGGCGGCUUUGCAAGUCGGAUGUGAAAGCCCACGGCUCAACCGUGGAAGUGCAUCCGAAACUGCAUGGCUCGAGUCUCGGAGAGGAAGGUGGAAUGCUUGGUGUAGAGGUGAAAUUCGUAGAUAUCAAGCAGAACACCUGCGGCGAAGGCGGCCUUCUGGACGAUGACUGACGCUGAGACGCGAAAGCGUGGGGAGCAAACAGG
rnacentral:rRNA from 1 species